GGCGCUGGGGUUACUCUAUUUCUCGAGCAUCUCUUGUGUUUGUGUGACGGCUUCCCAUGCUCCGGUGGGAGAUGUGUCAUGGGAAACCCAGGGCCAGGUCUAGAGGGUUGGACACCUUGUGCUUCCCGGAGAAAUCAAAUAUAGCCAAGAUGGCAAGAUAUAUAUCUAUAAGUACACCUGUCGGGCAUAGUUGUGCUCCGAACCCAUCUCUUUGAGGCACCCACAAAUUGUACGUGAGAAGAAUUAGGGUGAAAUCCAAAUCCUGAUAAGGAUGAAUUCUAGCACACCACGAUCAAAAGUGAGACAAUUGUUUUUAAUCCGAAUCCAAAUUAUAAAAUAGGAUGGUAAAACAGCAAGAAAAAGAUUCAACAAAAAAUAGUUUUAGGAGGAACCUGAUCUAGAUCACGAAAACAAUUCUAAAGCAGUAAGCCUCUUUACCACCCGAGAUCCAUGGCCCCUCUUGGUUUUCUUAGAUCUAUGCCCACAUUUGCUUUGCAUUAGUUUGAGAGAGAUAAUGGCUUUGAUUUUGUUGCGGGAGAGACAUUAGGGAGAACAAACGACCGUGAAAUAGUUCCAUGAGGAGAGAGAGAGAGAUAAUGGAGAGGAAGGGACGGUGGGCUAGAUAUUAGUUCCAUGGGGGAAAGAGAGAGAUAAUGGAGAAGACGGGAAGUUGGGCUGUAUAUUUGUAUUUCCACAGGGGAGAGAUAGAUGGAUGGAAUACUUUCCAUCGUGGGGAGAGGAAAAAAGAGCAAGGAAGAUUAGGGUGAAAGGAUUCCUAUGGGUUAAUCUCCACCUCACUAAUUCGGCCCAUCAAAUAAACCUUCCGGUUAAUCACCACCGUAAUAAUUCGGCCCCACCAAAUAAACAGCUAUUAAUUU
rnacentral:lncRNA from 1 species